rnacentral:rRNA from 1 species
UACGAAGGGGGCUAGCGUUGUUCGGAAUUACUGGGCGUAAAGCGCGCGCAGGCGGCUAUCCAAGUCAGUGGUGAAAGCCCGGAGCUCAACUCCGGAACUGCCAUUGAAACUGUUUAGCUUGAGGAUGAGAGAGGUGAGUGGAAUUCCCAGUGUAGAGGUGAAAUUCGUAGAUGUUGGGAAGAACACCGGUGGCGAAGGCGGCUCACUGGCUCAUUACUGACGCUCAGGCGCGAUAGCGUGGGGAUCAAACAGG